rnacentral:lncRNA from 1 species
CACUCCCAUUUUCAGACCUUCCUCGAGGACAAAAGAAAAUGUCAGGCUACCCACACCCUCCUUCCGGCUACGGCUACGGCAGCGCUCCACCACCAGGCCAACCUUACGGCGCGCCGCCUCAAGGCCAGCCCUACGGUGCGCCGCCCCAAGGUCAACCCUACGGCGCAACGCCGCAAGGGCAGCACCAGACAGCCCAACCCUACAGUGCUCCGUCUGCACCGUACGGCGCUCCAUCCUCCGCACCGUACGGUGCUCCGGCAGCACCGUACGGCGCGCCUUACGCGCCAGAGAAGCCUUACAAUCCAGACAAGCCUCACAAGAAUCAAGGCGGAGGAGGCGGAGGCGGAGGCGGAUACCCGAAUCAAGGUGGAGGAGGCGGAGGCGGAGGCGGAUACCCGAAUCAAGGUGGAGG